rnacentral:rRNA from 1 species
CCUACGGGUGGCUGCAGUGGGGAAUAUUGGACAAUGAGCGAAAGCCUGAUCCAGCCAUGCCGCGUGUGUGAAGAAGGCCUUCGGGUUGUAAAGCACUUUCAGUGGGGAAGAAACCCUUGGGGCUAAUACCCUCGAGGAAGGACAUCACCCACAGAAGAAGCACCGGCUAACUCCGUGCCAGCAGCCGCGGUAAUACGGAGGGUGCGAGCGUUAAUCGGAAUUACUGGGCGUAAAGCGCGCGUAGGCGGUCUGAUAAGCCGGUUGUGAAAGCCCCGGGCUCAACCUGGGAACGGCAUCCGGAACUGGCAGGCUAGAGUGCAGGAGAGGAAGGUAGAAUUCCCGGUGUAGCGGUGAAAUGCGUAGAGAUCGGGAGGAAUACCAGUGGCGAAGGCGGCCUUCUGGACUGACACUGACGCUGAGGUGCGAAAGCGUGGGUAGCAAACAGGAUUAGAUACCCCAGUAGUC